rnacentral:rRNA from 1 species
UAGGGAAUCUUCGGCAAUGGGGGGAACCCUGACCGAGCAACGCCGCGUGAGUGAAGAAGGAUUUCGGUUCGUAAAACUCUGUUGUUAGAGAAGAACAGCGCAUAGAGUAACUGUUAUGCGUGUGACGGUAUAUAACCAGAAAGCCACGGCUAACUACGUGCCAGCAGCCGCGGUAAUACGUAGGUGGCAAGCGUUGUCCGGAUUUAUUGGGCGUAAAGCGAGCGCAGGCGGUCAAUUAAGUCUGAUGUGAAAGCCCCCGGCUCAACCGGGGAGGGUCAUUGGAAACUGGUUGACUUGAGUGCAGAAGAGGAGAGUGGAAUUCCAUGUGUAGCGGUGAAAUGCGUAGAUAUAUGGAGGAACACCAGUGGCGAAGGCGACUCUCUGGUCUGUAACUGACGCUGAGGCUCGAAAGCGUGGGUAGCAAACAGG